AUUGGACGCUGGCGGCAUGCUUUACACAUGCAAGUCGAACGGUAACAGGUUAAGCUGACGAGUGGCGAACGGGGGAGUAAUGCAUCGGAACGUGCCCGAUCGUGGGGGAUAACACUUCGAAAGAAGUGCUAAUACCGCAUACGAUCUGAGGAUGAAAGCGGGGGACCGUAAGGCCUCGCGCGAUCGGAGCGGCCGAUGUCAGAUUAGGUAGUUGGUGGGGUAAAGGCUCACCAAGCCGACGAUCUGUAGCUGGUCUGAGAGGACGACCAGCCACACUGGGACUGAGACACGGCCCAGACUCCUACGGGAGGCAGCAGUGGGGAAUUUUGGACAAUGGGCGCAAGCCUGAUCCAGCAAUGCCGCGUGCAGGAAGAAGGCCUUCGGGUUGUAAACUGCUUUUGUACGGAGCGAAAAGGCUCCCUCUAAUACAGGGGGCUCAUGACGGUACCGUAAGAAUAAGCACCGGCUAACUACGUGCCAGCAGCCGCGGUAA
rnacentral:rRNA from 1 species